GGCUAUUAUUCUGUUGAAACUGUUACGCUUCUGGUGGCUUUGAAGGUCCGUUAUCCUCAGCGUAUUACUAUCCUAAGAGGAAAUCAUGAGAGUCGCCAGAUUACUCAAGUUUAUGGAUUUUAUGAUGAAUGCUUACGCAAGUAUGGUAGUGCGAAUGUGUGGAAGACCUUCACUGAUCUUUUUGAUUACUUCCCUCUGACUGCCUUGGUCGAAUCUGA
rnacentral:misc_RNA from 1 species